AUUGAACGCUGGCGGCAGGCCUAACACAUGCAAGUCGAGCGGAUGAAGGGAGCUUGCUCCUGGAUUCAGCGGCGGACGGGUGAGUAAUGCCUAGGAAUCUGCCUGGUAGUGGGGGAUAACGUCCGGAAACGGGCGCUAAUACCGCAUACGUCCUGAGGGAGAAAGUGGGGGAUCUUCGGACCUCACGCUAUCAGAUGAGCCUAGGUCGGAUUAGCUAGUUGGUGGGGUAAAGGCCUACCAAGGCGACGAUCCGUAACUGGUCUGAGAGGAUGAUCAGUCACACUGGAACUGAGACACGGUCCAGACUCCUACGGGAGGCAGCAGUGGGGAAUAUUGGACAAUGGGCGAAAGCCUGAUCCAGCCAUGCCGCGUGUGUGAAGAAGGUCUUCGGAUUGUAAAGCACUUUAAGUUGGGAGGAAGGGCAGUAAGUUAAUACCUUGCUGUUUUGACGUUACCAACAGAGUAAACACCGGCGAACUUCGU
rnacentral:rRNA from 1 species